CUCUUCUCUCCUGCCUGUCUCUGAUGCAUAGAAGGCAUUCCAUAAAUGCUUGUUGAUGAAACACAUAUCCAAGAAAAGGUAGUCUGCAGGAAAACUGGAGGAAGACUUAUGCUUAGAGUCCUUGCUCUGCAAACUUCUACAGGAACCAGUGUGGACUUGGAGGCCUUAGCAAACUAUCACAGGAACAGAAAACCAAAUACCGCAUGUUCUCACUUAUAACUGGGAGCUAAAUCAUGAGAGCACAAGGACACCCAGAGAACAACAUACACUGGGGCCUU